CAUGCAGGCGGGCCAGCAAGUCUGAUGUGAAAGCCCCGGGCUUAACCUGGGAAGUGCAUUGGAAACUGCUGGUCUUGAGUGCUGGAGAGGAAGGGGGAAUUCCCGGUGUAGAGGUGAAAUUCGUAGAGAUCGGGAGGAAUACCAGUGGCGAAGGCGCCCUUCUGGACGGCAACUGACGCUGAGACGCGAAAGCGUGGGGAGCAAACAGGAUUAGAUACCCUGGUAGUCCACGCUGUAAACGAUGAGCACUAGGUGUAGCGGGUACUCAUUCCUGCUGUGCCGUAGCUAACGCGUUAAGUGCUCCGCCUGGGGAUUACGGUCGCAAGACUAAA
rnacentral:rRNA from 1 species